CUCUCAGUGGUGCAAAUGAUUAAUGCAUUUGGCUGCUAACCGAAAGGUUGGUGGUUCGAAUCUACCCAGGGAAA
rnacentral:tRNA from 1 species